AGGCUUCCCAUUCCCGACCGAGCACCUAUAUCGGUUUUGCCGGGUUCGCCCGGCUAUGGCGAUAAAGUGCGGCGUGCAAUAGAUACAACGGACCCGGGGGCAGUACCCGGCGGCUCCACCACAACCGGCCACGGCUUUCAGCCAGACCGGUCAUGACGGGGCCGAAGCAGGAUCGACGUGUUUCGAAAAGCGCUGUUUUUUCCCGGGCUGAGUAACCUGUAAAAGGCUCAAAACCACAAGUGCAAACGAUAACGAAGCACUCGCGAUUGCAGCGUAACUCAAGGCCUAACGGUCUAGGUUACUAAGCUAAGCGCGGUUCGGGCCGCACCGGGCAACAGAAGCGGACACC
rnacentral:tmRNA from 1 species